CAUCACGAUUACAUUUCGAGGUGAAGAUCGUGUGUGGUUCCUUCGGAAAGGUCUUGUAGAAUGUUGUACAGAAGGUUAAUAGCGGAUUCGAUUGUGAAAGCAUUUUGUCAAUAUUUACACCAAUAAAUAGCAAUAGUCGCUUAAGCACAGUAGAACUCCUAACCUCAAUUUAUUAGGAGGAGAAUUAAGCGAUUCAUAUAUUAGGUUGGCAACUAAGUGAUUGCGGCUUUUGUCGUUACUACCUAACGACAAAACCCGCAAUCACUUAGUUUGCUAAUCCAAUAUACUUUGAACUCCUACCGUCUUGCAGAACAAGUGCAAAAGUUUUUCUCUUUUUUAUUAUUUAAUAUGCACUUUACAAUUUGUGAAAUGCAAAAUUGUUCUCUGAUAAAAAUGAAGGAAGAGAAAUGAAGCAGCGGCGUACUUACAGACAAUUGUAAAGGAGGGAAUCGACGAUUUUGACAGUGAAACAUGUGGCACCGUUCAAGCAGUACCAUUCCGCAUAAUCCGGUGGACACGUGUACAUGUGGAAUGUGAUGUUCGGUCGAGGCGUCGGCGUCG